rnacentral:misc_RNA from 1 species
AAAUACAUUCUAUCAGCAGACAGCAACAAAUGUAUAAACAUCCAUAACAACUCGGAUAUCUUCAUUUGACUGAUAAACUAAGUAAACAUUUUGAAUAUACAUGUAUGUAUAGUGAAAUAUUCUAGUAUCACUCGAGUAGAUAUAGACGAAAUGUUUUAGACUUUGAAUGAAUAGUUUUUUGACGAGUUGUGAGGUUUUUCUUUUUAAAAUGGAUAAGGUCUUCAGCUUUGUUUUCCUGUCUUUGAUGGCGGGGUGUGUUUCGGGUUUAAAUUCUGAGAGGUACAUCCCUCAACACUGUAAGAUGGUGAACCCCAACACGCCGUGUGUGUGUAAAGACGAGUAUGGUAACUAUGUGGACCUACGGCCUCUCGCAUGGAAAAAUAGGACCGCAAGAUUCAUGGACCAUCCACCAGCAGACGACGAUGGUCACGUGUAUUCUUUUAAUCCCUGUUACGGCUUCCUGGAGAAAUCCCUUAAUGAUACGUCAGGAUGCCUUAAUGUCGCGAGCUGUCGUGUUAACAAAGCAAGGACCGAGUUUGUCGACAUUGGAAUUCAACAAGGUGCAGUAUUUGGCCAUUUUGACAAUGGCAACCUCUCGUUAACUUACAUUUCCAAAGAUAAGAAAAGGUUGGUAAUUAGAUCACUUAAGGUUUUAUAAUAAUGAUAUUCUUAAUUCGUAUGUAUUGUAUUAAACACAAAAAUUUCAAGAGACAAACUUGUUUCAGUAAGGAAGGUAUAAAGUAUUAUAAACAGAAAUUACACAGUGGAUUAAAUAUAUGUACUGGUAUUGUACGCAUACCGAUUCUAAUCAAUUGACCUGUAGUGCACACUUAUGUUAAAAAUUAAUAAUUACCAUUGGUUUCUUUACAAUUGAUGGAUUUUUUCCGUUUGUUUAUCUGUUUCUUUGACAACAGGACCACAAUUCUGUCUCUUUAUUGCGAUAUGAAUCAAGAGAAGAGCACUUUGCGAGCAGUGGGGGACAUGGGCAGAUUUUAUUGGUUGCAGUUGCGUAGUCAACAUUGCUGUCCAAUGAACGAGUCGACCAUUCAAGCGUAUCUGGGAAAUAACCUCACACUGGGGGCAGACGAAGCGGGAAAUAUUACCAGGGUGCCCCAGCCACCGACCGUGCCGUCCCCAGGGGUCGUGACAAUCACCCAUAGGCCCAGUCCCGACACCAAAGAUCUACGGAAAAUCACGCUCCUUUUGACGGGGAUUUUAAUCAUGUGCUCUGGGAUUCUGUUGGUACUAGUAGGAGGACUAUUCUGGCAGUACCUUAGGAGAAAACCUUACUCACAGUACACUAUGAUUCCAACGGAAGACAUAUUGGAAAACCAGAAAUAUCCGUACUAAAUGGGUGUUCUAAAACUGAUGUAUCUGAUAGAAAAAUGUAAAAUAUAGACUACUUUUCUGCAGAUUAAAUUGAGGAUAUUUUUCCACUAUUUGAUAAUAGGUCUACUACCUAUGUUGAAAUAAUGAUAUUUUAACUUCUUUUUUUUUCAUAAAAACCAUUUGUAUAUAUAAGCUUUGAUUGGAAAUUGCAUUAUUAUGUAAUAUAGUUGUGUAGCUACCAUUGUAACACUUCAACAUUGCGAACUUUGUAUACAGUAUCCAGUAAACGCACUUUAGCAAGUUAUCACAACAACCAUGUCGAUCAUAUUUCUCACAAGAUUAUUUUGUAACAAACAGUCGACUGUAAAUGAUUUUCUGUUUCAAAUUUCACCUUUCGAUAUCUCUACAUUUACGUUACAUGUAUAUUUGAUUGUUGUGUGGAUGUGAGUAAACGAUUCCAUCUUAUGUUACCACGAAAAAGGGACAUCAAAAGCAACAGUUUAUAGCACCUAUUUACAUAUGUAAAUUGCUCUGUUCCAUGCUUUUGUUUGUCGUAGGGCUAUUACAUACACCGCGGAGAAAUUUACAAUAAAACUUUAAGAUACUCAAGGUAAUAUUGAUUCAGUUUGCCUUAAGGAUGACGUUUACUCAGAAUGAAAAAAAAUUCCACUGAUAAUAAUGAAAAACCAACUAUUGUGUGUUAUAGACCUUUUAUUGUAGUGUUAUUUUUCGAUUUCAAAAAAGUAGGUCAAUGACCUACUUUUUGAGUUAAUGGCCAUUGUAUAUUUUUGGAAAAUUAAUAAAAGGAAAAUCACUUAAAAUUUU